rnacentral:rRNA from 1 species
UACGGAGGGGACUAGCGUUGUUCGGAAUUACUGGGCGUAAAGCGCACGUAGGCGGAUUUGUAAGUCAGGGGUGAAAUCCCGGGGCUCAACCUCGGAACUGCCUUUGAUACUGCAAAUCUCGAGUCCGGAAGAGGUGAGUGGAAUUCCUAGUGUAGAGGUGAAAUUCGUAGAUAUUAGGAAGAACACCGGUGGCGAAGGCGGCCCACUGGCUCGACACUGACGCUGAGGUGCGAAAGCGUGGGGAGCAAACAGG